rnacentral:rRNA from 1 species
AGAGUUUGAUCCUGGCUCAGAUUGAACGCUGGCGGAAUGCUUUACACAUGCAAGUCGAACGAUGAAGCCUAGCUUGCUAGGUGAAUUAGUGGCGGACGGGUGAGUAAUAUAUCGGAACGUGUCCAUUAAUGGGGGAUAACUAAUCGAAAGGUUAGCUAAUACCGCAUACGCCCUGAGGGGGAAAGCUGGGGAUCUUCGGACCUAGCGUUAAUGGAGCGGCCGAUACCUGAUUAGCUAGUUGGUGGGGUAAAAGCCUACCAAGGCAACGAUCAGUAGCUGGUCUGAGAGGACGACCAGCCACACUGGGACUGAGACACGGCCCAGACUCCUACGGGAGGCAGCAGUGGGGAAUUUUGGACAAUGGGGGCAACCCUGAUCCAGCCAUUCCGCGUGAGUGAAGAAGGCCUUCGGGUUGUAAAGCUCUUUCGCAAGGGAAGAAACGAUAUAGGUUAAUAGCUUAUGUUAAUGACGGUACCUUGACAAGAAGCACCGGCUAACUACGUGCCAGCAGCCGCGGUAAUACGUAGGGUGCAAGCGUUAAUCGGAAUUACUGGGCGUAAAGCGUGCGCAGGCUGUUUUGUAAGUCAGAUGUGAAAUCCCCGAGCUCAACUUGGGAACUGCGUUUGAAACUACAAGACUAGAAUAGGUCAGAGGGGGGUAGAAUUCCAUGUGUAGCAGUGAA